GAUGAACGCUGGCGGCGUGCCUAAUACAUACAAGUCGAGCGAAUGGAUUAAGAGCUUGCUCUUAUGAAGUUAGCGGCGGACGGGUGAGUAACACGUGAGUAACCUGCCCAUAAGACUGGGAUAACUCCGGGAAACCGGGGCUAAUACCGGAUAACAUUUUGAACCGCAUGGUUCGAAAUUGAAAGGCGGCUUCGGCUGUCACUUAUGGAUGGACCCGCGUCGCAGUAGCUAGUUGGUGAGGUAACGGCUCACCAAGGCAACGAUGCGUAGCCGACCUGAGAGGGUGAUCGGCCACACUGGGACUGAGACACGGCCCAGACUCCUACGGGAGGCAGCAGUAGGGAAUCUUCCGCAAUGGACGAAAGUCUGACGGAGCAACGCCGCGUGAGUGAUGAAGGCUUUCGGGUCGUAAAACUCUGUUGUUAGGGAAGAACAAGUGCUAGUUGAAUAAGCUGGCACCUUGACGGUACCUAACCAGAAAGCCACGGCUAACUACGUGCCAGCAGCCGCCGCGG
rnacentral:rRNA from 1 species